ACCAACACGGCAGGGUGGCAAAAUUUUGAGGCAGCCCUUUUUAACUCCACGAUCCACACACACCUAACCCUAGUUCCCAUCCUCUCCUCCCGUUCCCUCAGCCGCCGCCUAACCCUAGUCUGCCCGCUCCACGCCGGCGCCGGCGCAGAAGAGGCCUUACCUCUCCCGAUCCACCGCUCCCCUCUCUUCUCCGCUCUAUAUGCCUCGGCCCCCUCCUCAUCUUUCCCACCGCCAUGGCCACGAGCCCAUACACCCCGGUCCAGAUCCCGGACUCGGUGGUGGCGGCGGGACCGACCGCUCCGGCUGGACGACGUUUAACGCAGUCCAUUACAUCCCAUCGCACAUCAAUCCGCCUUCCUCGGUCUUAGUCGAGCAGCGCACGUGCCGCGGCGAACCCCAUGAUGUGCUGGCCAUCUCAAUUAGAUCGACGUCGAUGAGAAGGCCAAGGUGGAGGUAGCGGCGCCGAGCUCGUCAUUUUCUGCCACCGGAUUUGAAGUAGUUAAUGUUCCGUGCGGCGGCCACCUAUCCAUCUCCGGUCGACGCCGAGCAAUGGUGAGGUCCAGUUGGCACCGCUCUCAUGGAUGCAGUGUAUAGGGGCGCCGACGCCACGGUGAUGGCCACUGGCUUCUCCCUACCGUGCUGCAGCGACGGGUGCCGCCUCCUUGGCUUUGCCUCGGUCCUUCCGUCCUGCACUUAGGUGCUGCUGCUUGUAGCCAUCUCGGUGGUUGAAGAAUGGUUUUCUUGGAGGUUGGUAUUGUAGCAUUUCUACUUGAAGGAAAUGAAGCCAGCGGUUAUGAUAUCUUUGGUGCAUAACUUAAUUUGUUAUCUCUGAAGCUGUAGCAAGUGCUGAUGUACCGCUCAAGGUGUAUCUCUCAAGCUUUUUAAACAACUGAUUGGUAAAAGGUAAAAGGGACUAAGAUUCACACAGCUACGCCGCAGGCAAUGUUGAUCAUGUGUUGAGGCGAGGCUUUGGCGGAUAUGGUUCUCCCUUAGAUGAUGUCAACAUGGAUGGCCCGAUCUGCAUCCAUGGAGCGCAAAGCUGGGUGGUGGUGGAUGGCUGGAUAUGCGUCCAGUGAGCGCUAAGUUGGGUGGUGGUGGCUGCAGAAUUAACAUAGGGGUCUGUAGAUUUUACUUUCUUGUUUUUUGCUAGUCCUUAUAAAUGUAUUAUCUGGAAAUAUCUGUAAUUGAAAAGUUUUGUGAAAAAAAAUCUGCUCUGUUUAUGUUUUUUUCUUUUAUUUAAUGACAUGAGCAUAUAUUUCUGAAAAAAUAGAAUUUCUAUGGACCAUGAGAAAUGAGAUGGGCUAGUUGUUGAGAUUGAAA